GGGAAGAAACUGCGUCAAUAUCAGCCUGCAUGUGCUCACGCUGGCAACUCAUGAAAUAUAAGCAUUUUCUUUCCCGUAAAAGUAAAUAAUUUAAAAUUUUUUUUCUUGUGUCAAACAACAAGAACCCGGAGAAUGAAGUUGCCUUGAGCUGUACUGAAAAAGAUUGCCAAAAAGAUAGAAAUUUCAAACAUGUAGGCCCUGGCAGGCUUGGAAAAUGAGGCCUGUGUGUGUCUUUGUGACGUUAAUGGCGGUCGUGAGCUGAUAUAUAAAAAGACUUUUGUCUUUCUAUGCGUGUUAAGGACGUUUCUACCUGUGUUUUUCUAUACUUUAUAUUUCAUGCUCCUUUCUGGAUAAAAAAAUAUUCACCGUUUUCCUUUUACAUUAACGGAGUCUGCAAAGCGGACCAAAAGUUUCAAAUCCCCCACCAUAAAAAAUCGUGAAACAUAUCUUUGACAUUCAAUCUCUAUUCCUAUCCACCUUUGUCUUUUUUCACCCGGUGAAGAAUUUUUCGAUCUUUAAGUUGAUCUUCUCUCACAUUUAUGUGGUAUGAUGCAUAUUAUAUACACAUUUGUGGAAUUCUUCUGACCUAACUAAUUAAUAUAAAUUUGACCCAUUUAAUAUUUUGAAUUUAACAAGUGGGUCGAUCAGAGAACGGAAAAAGCUGAUUUUUGAGAGUCGUUCCUCACCAAAUCCAUCUGUGCUGUUCAAAUGUUGAACCAAUCAAUUAUGAUUUACAAAUCAUUACCUUGAGAAAUCACAAAUCAAAAAAGGUCGCCUCGAAUUGCAGCAAAGCUUGUCUGUCAUGCACUGACAUUGACCGCAAUGCAGGCAUGCAACCCCACCAUCCUUCAAUUCUUUUUCUUGUUAAGAUACUUAAUAGAUGGAACACUUGCAUUGUUCUGAUAGAUUCAAAAGUGGGCCUACGUGCCAAACUGCGGAAGGUUCAUCAAUUUAAUUUCCUUAUACCUAUGUUUUAAUUCGUAAACCAAUUGGUCAGUGAUAUAAAAAGAAAAAAAAAAUGUUUAGGAGCUUACCUCUUUUCCUUCAUUUUUCCAUUUUUCUUAGCCCUUUAAAGCUCUGGAAACCAGUUUUCUAGAGUUAUUUUCUUCCUCAGCUAUGAUAUGCACGGUAUUACAUAUUCAUUCCGUUUUUCCUGUAAUUUCACUUCUAAUGGAUUUAUAUUUCCUUUCUCCUAGCCAUCCUUUGAAAAGCUACAUGAGUAUACUAUGAAUUUGUAUUCCACAAUCCUGCCUCCAGCUGCCUCAGUCAAUUCAGCGGGGUCCUUUAAUGGCCAUGCCACCUCAAACACCUAAUUUGCCUGCUUUAAGUGAGCACAUGUUUGUUCAAUCUCAUUUUACUUUAGCUCUAUUUUUCAAUGUGGUGUGACUUGAUUGGAAUAGGAUUUAUGUGUUGGCGCCUUCCACCCGACAUGCUCACCUGUAGGAGCAUCCUAAGCCCAUUUCAUACGGACACUCAUCCUUUCCUAAGAGACAGCCCAUACCACUGGAUUCAUAAACAAGUCAAUAUUCAUCAGUAUAUCAAUGAUUUUCUUCCAUGGGAUUGCGCUAUAGGGCACAAAACAUUCAGCACUACACGAUUUUUCUUCCAAUUAAAUUCCGCCAUGGCAGCAUGAAGAAAAAAUAUGGGACUUACCAUCAUUUGUCUUGCUAUUCACUAACUUGGCUCAGCACUGUUCUCUUGACAUGGUUUUCUUUUCCUGGAAGCUAUACAGGUGAUGGGGUCUAGAAUACAACAUUGUUCUUGCAGCCGGAGCCGGGCGAUGCUAUGUUCCUCUAAUUAAUUCUGUUGGAGAUUAGGUAACCUACCGGAGAAACGAAAUUUCCUUUUGGUUUCCUGGUGAUUUUAAUAUCUGGCAGUGUCCUCUCUUUUCGCUUCUAGAAUUCUGCUAGGUUAGACCUUAAUUUGGAUGUUUCAAUCAUCAGAUGAAUUUGACUUUUGUUCUGAAUUCAACACUAUAUUUUUCUCUCAUUCUUAACCAUACGAUGCGGUGGCUCUGUGUGUUGGGGUGGUUGGGGGUAUGAAAAUGGCCAUUAAGAUAGUAUAUCUCAAGUCCUUACCAUAGCAAAGAAUAUUCUCCCAAUCAGCACAGGAGACAUGUACAAGUAUAGCUCAUUCCAACUGAAUUGGUUUGGUUGAGUGAUAAGAACCAAACAAAAAUGUAACCUUGUCAAACAUGGGAAGGACCCAGCAUCAUCUAAUCCUUACAAAGAUAACAGCUAAAAUGAUGGCAUAAUAAUAUGAAAUGUGAAGAUACAGUGUAUCUCGCAUGUAUGUGUGGGACGGUCUACAUAUCAUGUGUUGAUCUAUGUCAACCCAAUAAUCCUGCUAUCUCCCGAUAGAUGGUUGGGAUAUUUCACUUAAAAGUUCCAAUGAAAUGAAAAGUCCUGGUAUAUCUCCAUAAAAAAUAGAUUCCGGACUAAAAAGAAGAAGAAAAAACUGGCAUAUUUAAUUUCUCGAAUAUUCUAUUCAAGGGCACAUCUUUUUGCCAUACCCAUUUUAAAACAAUAUGGCUCUUUCGGAAAUAAUGUUUAUCUUCUUCCGCCUAUUAUAAUCUCUCUCAUACAACCCUUACUUUCAAGAAAAGAGGAGUGAAAUCUCUCUCCCUCAUACCUCAAGCUCACAACACAGAAGAAAUGGGGAGGGCACCUUGCUGUGACAAAGCCAACGUCAAGAAAGGCCCAUGGUCGCCUGAAGAAGAUGCCAAGCUCAAGUCAUAUAUUGAGCAGCAUGGCACUGGUGGUAAUUGGAUCGCUUUGCCACAAAAAAUUGGUAAUCCCGAAUCAACUUUCUCUCUUUCCCUUUUCUAUCUUCAUUUAUUAAGAUCAACUCAGUUGAACUUCCAAUUUCUCACAUGGUAAAUGAGAAUUGUUUGUAUACAGGCCUCAAGAGAUGUGGGAAGAGCUGCCGCCUUAGAUGGUUAAACUAUCUCCGCCCAAAUAUCAGGCACGGAGGAUUCUCUGAAGAAGAAGAUAACAUCAUCUGUAGCCUGUAUAUAAGUAUUGGAAGCAGGUGUGCCCUCAAAAAUUUAAUGAUGCUCAUAACUGUAGAUCUGUAUAUAAUUAACCAUCUCUUAGACCUCUUUUGAGUGGUACAAUGGGUUGAUUUUACAGGAGUGGCUCAUGUUGUAAUGAAACACUUGGUUUUCAUGAACAGGUGGUCUGUUAUUGCAGCACAAUUACCAGGACGAACUGACAAUGAUAUAAAGAACUACUGGAAUACGAGACUGAAGAAGAAGCUCCUUGGUAAGCAGCGCAAAGAACAACAGGCUCGCAGAGGUAGCUGCCCGAAGCAAGAGAUGAAAAGAGCAAGUGGGAACGCCAUGGUUUCUGAUAAUGAAAACUUAAACCCUUACUGGCCUGAGUUGCCCGUGCCAGCACCAAUACCGUACCCAAACGAAGAACCACGCUUCAACGAUCAUUCAUCCAUCAGAAGAUUGUUGAUCAGGCUUGGGGGAAGAUUUUCUGAUGACGGACAACCACUCCAAAACGGGACAAAUCUUCAGCUCCCGAUUGAUAUUUCAUCCGUUCAACAACCUUUUGACCACUCAGUAAACUUUCUGUCUUCUUCUCCUAUGAAUGCCCUAAACAACCCUCGUUCUGAAUUUCCAAACGCUGAGUACAAUAUGGAAGGGGGAGGGCUACACAUGCUACAAGGACAGAACAGUUUUUUAGCUGAGCUGGAGGAGAUGGCUUGUAGCAACCCACAAAGAUUAGAUGGGCUGGAGUUCUUAUAUGCGCAGGACAUGGCCAAUAACAAACCCGGAUCAACUGCUUAUGAGCAAAGUCUCAGUUGGGGUGAGACGAGCUCUCUGGUUUAUCCUCCUGUUGCUUCCAACUAUGAAGGUCUUCAACAGCAAGGGGUGACGCAAGAACAUGACUUUGAUGAGUUGAGGUACCCUACCCCGCGAUAACCACACUGAACAUGGAUGGUGUAAAUUUGAACCGGUUGUGAAGUUGGUGCUGGAUUCCCAGACCGAAAAUUCUAAUAAACUCAUCCGGUGAUUUGUUUGUUUUGCACUUCUGUUUUCUCAUAUUUGCUUGCUCUAAGAACUGACUUUAGUAUCUCUAAGUUGCUUCUUCAAUGAACACUUUUACUGUACUUUAUUGGCCUGAAUCUCUCUAUUGUUGAAUUAGGGGCAUUUAGUGCUUGAAAGCCUAUAUAUAUAACCCUAACUAAUGCAAACUUGGCUCAAUUACUCUAGCUUCUUGAGUGGAGACAUGCUUGGAUCUGUUGUUCCCACGUACUGAGUGAUCUGGUGAAGAAAGAUGAGUGUUCCUUUGAAUACUAAUAAAAGGUAUGCGCUUUCUUUUAACGCAUGUAUCAUAUGGGUGACCAUGUGCCGAAUUUAUUUUUCUUAAUAUUUCCAUAAUGUGGGAUCAGAACUUAUAGCUAGCGCUCUUGGAUUUCAUCAAACUCCUGACUUUCUUGUACCAUGGAAGGAAUCCUAGCUGUAAACCAAAAUCACACAUUAGGGUUCAAGAAAAUUAGGUUCAUAGUCCCCCAAAGUCCAAGACUAGAUAAAGCAUAGUGGAACUUAAGACAGUAAUGAUGAUCACAAGUAACCAUAGUCACUUCUGCCAAUCUUACAACUUUUUCACCUCACCUGGACAACACCAUUGGGCUUCAUUUAUCAGUCAAAUUACCUUGAAUCUUCACCAACUCUGAUUUCAAAUUGCAACAUUUAAACGUUCUCAUUUCUAUGAAAACAUCAGGCACAUUAUUUCCAUAACACUAGAGGUACUCAUGCAUGCUUGUUUUUGGCACAAGAGAACCAGGCAUCCAAGCUUAGUUGUUAGGAUCAUGCCACCCUAUUUGAAAUUGUUCAUGAUCCAAGUAAGCUAAAAUCUAUCUUUGUCGGCCAUUAGUUGAGUCACAUAGUCACAUAUUUAUGUAUAUUCCAGAAACCCAUGAUAGAAGUUAUGUAGUUGGAUUUCAACAAUUAUGAUAAUUUAGAUCCUCACUUCUUGUUAGUAAUGCCAUCCAUGCAGAUAGGUGAUUAGAUUGCGAUUACUUAGAGUGGAUGAGUUUUCCCUUCAUGCUUACGAGGUUCCUUCAAACAGGCCUAGCUGAUAUGGUGAAGUGCGCUUAAUGUUUGGUUGUAACUUACCUGUGCCUUAAUCACACAUCAAUGUCCAUCAUAUGAUGCGAAUUUAUGCAAGAACCACAUAAAUGCGGGUAUGGAGUCAAUUAAGCGGAAUUGAUUGCGAAGAAGGAUUGAGAGAGAAAUUAGAUAGAGAACUCAGGAGAAGCCAAAGCCUUAGAAUAUACAGACUUUCAAGUAGUAUAGAAAUUGAACAGCCUGCCAAUAUAUACCUUAUCACAGGCUCAGAUAUCUUAGCAAUGUGAGGAUGAUGAGCAUUAUCAAAGAGAAAUUAAUUAUUCAUGUUUUCUGAGUGUUAGGGUAUUGAAGAUUCUUAUUUUAUAUAUGGUUUAGUGUCUUUGUAUUAAUCCUCAAGAAAAGAUGUCUGUUUUCUAUAAUUUGGUGAUAGAUCAAGCAAGUGGGAUGUGUGCAUUGAACUGUUUUUCUAGAAUCUGCUUGAUCCUUACCUCCAAAUCUAUGCCUGGUAAAUCUUCAAUGAAGGAUACACAGGUGAUCAUGGAAGGGAUUUCCUCAGAGAGAAGAUUGUUUGAGCAAGCCUCAAGUAGCUAGUCAUCUCUAUGGUUUAGGUCCCUCAUUUUGCAAAUCUCCCUCUCAAGUCUUCAAGCUAGAUAUCCAAAACAGUAUUAUAAAUAUGCAUAUAAGCACUAGGAGACCCGAGUUUCUCAAGUAAGGAUGUUCACUUGUGCGCAUAUUGUUUGAAAUGCCAGUGAUAUGGUUGAUACUGAUUGUUACCUAACGUUGCAAUUAUGCACCCAUAAUCGGUCAACCUGUCUGCACGUGCUUACGGGCAAUAGAUAAUUCAUUGUUUUUGGUUUCAAUCAAUAUCACAAAUAGCAGCCAGACUUUGGGGUAUAAAGUCCCAUUUAUCCUUCAUCAUUUAGAGCAUUAAAUGUUCAAUAGCCAAUAUUUUGAGAUUUCGUAACUCAAUUAUAGAGCUUUAAAUGUUCAAUAGCCAAUAUUUUGAGAUUUCGUAACUCAAUUAAGCCUAGCUCAUGAUUAAUCCAACCAUACAUGAUAGUUUGGUUACAGAUUCACGCCAGCAGCCAACAUCUAUAACAAUCUGUGUCGUAUUUCUCCCUGCAGCCUGAUCCACCGGUUCAACAUUAUGGAAACAAAGUUGUGUAAUCCUAAUUAAGCAAUUUACUUGACAAAAUUUUAAGCCUCUUUCAUGUACAUGGCUGCUACCAUAAUUUUAGUUGCCAUCUGAUGUAUCAAGCCCAAUUCUACCAUAUGAUGCAAUGAAUAUUUGGAAAGCUGUACUACGAAGGAAAAUUAAAACAGCCAUUAAUGUCUUUGAAAUUAGGAAGGUUUUGAAGCAUACUCUUCACUAUCAAGGAUUGUCUCUCUGCUAAGAAGUAGACAACCAGCAUAGUUGAUUACAGUUGUAAUACUAUUUUAGAUAAGAAAAAUAAUAUUGUUUGUGCUGAUUAAUUAUCUUUGUUUGGUAAGCCAUGGUCAUGAUUUGUUAACAAUAGGUUGACAUAACUUGAAAGUUUGAAACCAGUAGUUAUUUUGGCAAGCAAUUGAUCAGAGUGUCGGCCCGUAAAGCCAAACCAACUCUGAAAUUGGGUUAGAAUAUAAAAAUAGCAAGACUAAGAUAUCUUGAAUUAACUAAUAUCACUUACCAUACACUUCUUCCUUCUCCUGUAUGGUUUGUUGACAUGUCGCUGACCUUUUUCUCUCCAUGAUCGUGAAUGCAUGGAAGAAAAGUGAAAUUAUUUUUUAUUUGAAUAACAUAAGAAUAAAAUAUAAACAUAUAUAAGAAGUGGGUACAUACUUAAAUAGGAAUCAAGAAAAAACUAUCAAGAAGGGUGCCUAGUGAUCUUGUGCUCAAUGCUCAGGCAGCAGACUAGGGGAAUGUUGAUCAUACUAGCUACGAAAGGGGCUUAAAGCUAUGAGAAUUUUUGCUUGAGAGGCUUUGAAAACUGUUUUUUUUUUUUUAGGGUUACCACUCUUGGAGAUACUGCAUACAUGACGGAAAGGUAGCAGACUAGGUGGUCCAACCUUUCUCAGCCAACAAGCACGUCAAUAAACUUGAUUUGUUUGAGAUACAUACAAUGAUACAAAAUCCAUAUUAAGAAGAAAAAUUGAAGGAAAGCUAGUCAGACGUUAGCUUCAGCUCCAUCAAAUAAGAGAAAUCGUGGGAGAAGUAGUUGAGAAUAGGUUUCUUGAUCUGAAAGAACAGGUUUUAAUUGGAGAACAGAAAAUUAGAUAUAUGUGCUACAGUCACGUUUCACAAUCAACUAAGCAACGAACCAAAUGAUGAGCCUCGUGAUGUUUUUUCCUAGUACCAAUGCCCACAUACCUAACAACCAUUCAACACCUAGCAGAAAGAUGCAGAGAGAGAGAAAGACAGAGAUCAGACCCAAAGUUUGAGAUGGGUAUAUACCAAAUAUUAACUCAGACAAUCAUAACCUUCCAAUAAGGGAAUUUUUUUCCUACCAUGCAUGGGGCAGACACUCAAUAAAUAUGGUCUGACAACAUGCAAUAUUUCUUGGCGCAUAAUGCGAAAAGCUAAUAAUUAAGAAGGUGGAAGUUACAUUCCCAACACAAAUAUAUUGUUGCUGUUCACUCUUUUCUAAAAGCCCACUCUUCGUGCUUAUCUAAACGCACACCCUAACAUAGUCUGGCUCACAUGUACAUAUACACUGUACCUAACAAUAUUUUAAAUUGUACAGUACUUUUGUCCCGCACAAAAAGUGUAGCAGAAAUUAACAUAACCUCCGGCAUACGCAGGAGAUCCUAAAAGUCCUGGGCUUUGUGAUUCGGAGAGUUAAAACUAGGAAGCUUGUAAGUGAUUACUUGCUGUAAAGCCAGAAGGAAUAUCCCUCACCAAGAAGAGGCACCGCAGAAGGAGUCCCCAACAAAAAACCAAAAUUUUGAAAUUGACUUAUUGAAGGCACAUUCUGUCAACUUGGUGACGACGGCAUAAACCAAAAAAAUCCGUGAUUGAGGCUUAUGGAGUCCAUGACAACAGCCAAACGACGACUAUUCUUGCCCACUUUUUCAUUUUUAAUCAACCCCGUUCCCAUUAUUCUAAAUCUCAUCCUUUUUUUAAUUCAAUGAUUGUGACACUCACUAACAUGAGGAAUACUUUCAGCUUUGUCCUAUCUUUGGACAUUACAUUUAAAAACGUACUUUAAGAAAACCUGCAUUAUUCUGUUUCCAAGGAAAACAAGAUGAGUUGCCCCUCUGGGUCUUCAUUCAGAUGUCAAAAAAAGUUGGAUAAAGGAGGAGGAUGGCCCUUUGAUCCACUGCCUUAUUUUAAUUAAAAUCAUCAUCUACUGGUUUGCCUACUUUAAUCAUUUUUUAUUUUAUUUUAAUUCAUCAUUAUUCUUAUUGUUUUUUGACUUAACUUAUGUAUUAGGUGUUCUUUACGGGUAAAAUGCCGACACCCUCGAAGAUAUUCAAGCCACUAAUAAUCAGAAAUUGAAAUUCUCGGAAAGGAUUUGAGAUUAUAUAAUAAUACCUUCUCAAAAAUAGGAAUAAUUUGGAUUUAUGUGAAUGAUGAGUGACUGAAAUCAAUUUUUAUAAAUGUAGUGAUAGAUUUUAAUUCAUCAUAAUAUAAAGUUAUAAACAACAUGUGAGUACCGUACAUGAGCCAUUGCCAUUGAUUAGAAAUGGGCCUGGGUAGUUGGGUUUGUGCUUGAUUUAUCUGCCCAAUUGAUUUAUGGCCCUCGGCUGACCUUUUUCUAUCUUCAGUAUACCCCUGUUGGCUCAGCCCAAAUUCCCCUUUGGCCUUUUUCGGCCUGGCCCGAUAGCGUUUCAGAAAAUAAUAAUAAUAAUUUGGUUACUUAGUAAAUGACGGCUAUACCCUCUAAUCUGGUAAACCCUACAGAGACGAGGAGAAAGCGCAGCGUGAAACCGUGAAAGGUGAACCGACGGCGAGAGGUAUGGCGCUACCGGCGUCUACAGUUACAGUUUGGUCUUCAAGAUUUCGUGUAUGAUCUCUCCUCCUUUUCCUUUCUCGAUAUAAGUUGUCUUUUAAGUAUUGUGGCACUCCACAAUUAUAUUUUUACAACAUUGUUAAGGGUUUGAAUCAUUCAUACUCUUGGUAUUGUAUAAUAAUUCACAAAUUGUGUGGUUCAGAAUUUGUAUUCUUCUCUUUGAUCUGGAGAAGGCCCUAAGCGGUAGGAUUGAAGUUAGCAUUGUUUUAUUUAUUUUUCUUUUUUUUUUUCAAGAAAAUGAAAGCUUGAACUAGCUCAAGGCUUGGGUCCGAAGAUGUAGAGUAAAUAUGCUUAUGCGUUUUUGGAGUUGGAUUGCUGGAUGGCUAAGGUGAAGCGCCUUCCUCUCUUUGGGAGGAAAAAAAGGGGAAGUUUGAAAGUGAGGUGGUUAACAGACUCACAUUCAGGUGAAAUAUGAAAUUCAAUGUUGGUUUCCAUAGUAAUCUGUUAGGUCGUUCGAGUUCAUGAUAAAGAUUUGAUACAAUGGUUAUUGGUUCUGGAUGAAGUGUAGGGUAGACAAAGUUUGAUUCAGUUCACAAAUACACUCAAACACAACAUGCUUUUCCUGGGUUUGAGUGGAGUAUAAUCGCAUUUGGGUCAAAUUUAUGUCGACUUGGAUAACCGAUUUAGUAAAUAGGUAUUUUUUGGGUCAUCCUACAAAAUACAAAUUUGAUCUGAAUUGACCCAUUUAAUAAUCAUUUUAAUUACUAAAUGCUUAGUAGAAUGCUUAGGCUUUGAUACGUCACGAACAUUACCCACUUUUAUGAAUUUCCACCCCUAAUGAAAUGUCUUACAAGUUACAAUUUUGUAUAUGCUUGCUCCUUUGUUACAUGCUUUACUUAUGGGAUGAUCAGCUUAGCUCUUCAGAACUUCAGUCGUGUACCAACUCUAAUGUUAUCCUUAUUACAAUACAUGCUAGAAGUCUAAUAAAAUAUGGAAAGUAAAAAAAAUACUAAGAGUGUUUAUUCUAGAAAUAGUUAAUGGAGUUAGUGGGCUAACCACUAUAAUGAGGGGUUAUGUGGAAAGGAUUUUUGGUCAAUUUGAAGUUCAGAUACCUUUUUGAUGAAAAAUAAUGCCUCAUAUUUAUAUUGUUCCUUGUAUGUCAUUCUGGUUUUGCUCAUUUAUCUUUGUUCAGAGGAUAUAGAUAGAUCUUGUUGAUUGAAUUCCAUGCAUUCAAUUUGAAUUUGUUUAGUUGUCCUAUCUUAUAGGUGGCGUCAGUGAUCCUUGAUAUCAUAAAUCAAAUAACUUGUCAUUUAUUUUCUUCUAUCUCUUUUGCACAACUUGUUUUUCUUUUUUGAUAAAUAAUUAAAACUAAAUAUAUAAUGAAGAACCAAAUAAAAAGGAGUGCAACCUAUUUACACAUGAAGUAUACCAAACAUGCCAAAAGAAAUGGAUGUACGAACCAAACCUAGCUAGCACAAUCUUGCACCAACUAGCUGAUUCCCAUAUGAUAAGGUUUUUAGGAGUGCACUUUUCAUAGCUAAAGCUAAAGUCAACUGCUCUAUCCCUUUAAAUAUUCUACGAUUGCUCUCUUUUCAUAUAUUCCAAAAAAGGCACGAAAGGAUCAACCUCUAGAUCUUUCUAUUAUCAACCCCAACAAAGUUUUAUGCCAAAUAGGUAACAUGUCUCUAAUAAAACGAGGAAGAACCCAAGACAUAUCAAAGAAAGUGAAAACCAAAGACGAUGGACUUGGGGUUCAAUCAUAAUGCAGGAGAAUGUGCUCAAAUGAUUCAAAGUCUUGUUUGCAGAGGCAACAUUUGAUUUACCAUAGGUCAACCCCACUUCAUAAGUUGCUCAAAUGUGAAUUUCUUCCCAGCCACCUCCCAAACAAAGAAACAAACUUUAGUUGAUGCCUUAAAUUCUAUAUCUCUUUAGUUGGACAAAGGAGAAAUUGCACAAGAUAAUCAUGCACCCUGACAUUACCUUCCUAUAUGCUUUCGAAAAUGCCCUUUUUUAUUUAUCACCUCAAGGAAAUGCUUGUUACCGGUUCACUCUCUUGCUCUUCCUCUCCCUCUCUCAUUCUUCCAUAAAAAGCCCUAUCUGCAAAAUCCCUCUCAUGCGAACACUUUUACCAACAUCAAACCCUAAUUUCCUAAUUCUCCUAUUCUCUUUCUCAGACUCAUCAGAAUAUGAAUUGCAUCUAUUUGGAUUGAACCUUCUAUUUCAUGAUUCAUUUUUCUUAUCUUUCUUUAAAAAGGAUCUUGUGUGAUAAAUAAAUUGAAAUUAUUUAUCAUUGUAUUAUUAAUUGUUAAUGUUCAAUAUUUUUUAAAAAUUCUAUACCAUAUUUUUCUAUACUCAUAUUAAUUAUGAAUAGCCAAGAAAGAAUAGUUAAUAGGUAAGAUACCAGUAGUUUAUGGUGGGACUAGAAGUUUUUCAUGAUGGGAAAAUGAGAUGAAGAGAGAUAGAGCAGGACAAUGAGAUAUUAUUAGGGUUUAAUGUUAGUGGAGGUGUUUGAAUGGGAGAAAGACAUUAUAGAUAGAGCAUUUUGUGAAAGAAUGAAAGAGGGAGAGUGAGAGGAGGAGAGGAAGUGCAUAUGAAGUCCAACACACUUUUGAAAAAGGGAAUUUUAGGAAGCAUAUUGAGAAGUAAUGUGUGAGUGCAUAAUUAUCUAAAUAUUUUCAAACUAGUAAAGAUAAAUUUAAUUUUAGACAAGUGAUUCCUGUCUUCCACUUUUUUCUAAAUGCUAGUGUGCAAACACAUUUCUCCUAAUCUAGGGUCAAUUACCCAUCAGAGCUUUGUUAAGAUGC
rnacentral:lncRNA from 1 species